CAGCAGCCGCGGUAAUACAGAGGUGGCAAGCGUUGUUCGGAAUUAUUGGGCGUAAAGAGCACGUAGGUGGGUUUGUAAGUCAGGUGUGAAAGCCUUCUGUUCAACGGAAGAAUUGCAUCUGAAACUGCGAGUCUUGAGUGUAGGAGGGGAGAAUGGAACUUCUGGUGGAGCGGUGAAAUGCGUAGAUAUCUGAAGGAACGCCGGCGGCGAAAGCGAUUCUCUGGCCUAUUACUGACACUCAGUGUGCGAAAGCUAGGGGAGCAAACGGGAUUAGAUACCCCGGUAGUCCUAGCCGUAAACGAUGGGCACUAAGUAGAGGGAAUUACCGAUAUUCUCUCUGCCGUAGCUAACGCAUUAAGUGCCCCGCCUGGGGAGUACGGCCGCAAGGCUAAAACUCAAAAGAAUUGACGGGGGCUCGCACAAGUGGUGGAGCAUGUGGCUUAAUUCGAUGCAACGCGAAAAACCUUACCCGGGCUUGACAUGGUAGAAGUAGGAACCCGAAAGGGUAACGAACGGUAUCCAGUCCGUAGCUAUCACAGGUGUUGCAUGGCUGUCGUCAGCUCGUGUCGUGAGACGUUGGGUUAAGUCCCCUAACGAGCGAAACCCUUGUUUUUAGUUACCAGCGGGUGUUGCCGGGUACUCUAGAAAGACUGCCGUCUUCAAGACGGAGGAAGGUGGGGAUGACGUCAAGUCAUCAUGGCCCUUAUGCCCCGGGCUS
rnacentral:rRNA from 1 species